rnacentral:rRNA from 1 species
AAAGAAGAACGUGGGUGAGAGUAACUGUUCACCCAGUGACGGUAUUUAACCAGAAAGCCACGGCUAACUACGUGCCAGCAGCCGCGGUAAUACGUAGGUGGCAAGCGUUAUCCGGAUUUAUUGGGCGUAAAGCGAGCGCAGGCGGUCUUUUAAGUCUAAUGUGAAAGCCUUCGGCUCAACCGAAGAAGUGCAUUGGAAACUGGGAGACUUGAGUGCAGAAGAGGACAGUGGAACUCCAUGUGUAGCGGUGAAAUGCGUAGAUAUAUGGAAGAACACCAGUGGCGAAGGCGGCUGUCUGGUCUGUAACUGACGCUGAGGCUCGAAAGCAUGGGUAGCGAACAGGAUUAGAUACCCUGGUAGUCCAUGCCGUAAACGAUGAUUACUAAGUGUUGGAGGGUUUCCGCCCUUCAGUGCUGCAGCUAACGCAUUAAGUAAUCCGCCUGGGGAGUACGACCGCAAGGUUGAAACUCAAAAGAAUUGACGGGGGCCCGCACAAGCGGUGGAGCAUGUGGUUUAAUUCGAAGCUACGCGAAGAACCUUACCAGGUCUUGACAUCUUCUGCCAACCUAAGAGAUUAGGCGUUCCCUUCGGGGACAGAAUGACAGGUGGUGCAUGGUUGUCGUCAGCUCGUGUCGUGAGAUGUUGGGUUAAGUCCCGCAACGAGCGCAACCCUUAUUACUAGUUGCCAGCAUUCAGUUGGGCACUCUAGUGAGACUGCCGGUGACAAACCGGAGGAAGGUGGGGACGACGUCAAAUCAUCAUGCCCCUUAUGACCUGGGCUACACACGUGCUACAAUGGAUGGUACAACGAGUCGCGAAACCGCGAGGUUUAGCUAAUCUCUUAAAACCAUUCUCAGUUCGGACUGUAGGCUGCAACUCGCYUACACGAAGUCGGAAUCGCUAGUAAUCGCGGAUCAGCAUGCCGCGGUGAAUACGUUCCCGGGCCUUGUACACACCGCCCGUCACACCAUG